rnacentral:rRNA from 1 species
CCUACGGGAGGCAGCAGUGAGGAAUAUUGGACAAUGGGCGCAAGCCUGAUCCAGCCAUGCCGCGUGCAGGAUGACGGUCCUAUGGAUUGUAAACUGCUUUUAUACAGGAAGAAACACCUCUACGUGUAGAGACUUGACGGUACUGUAAGAAUAAGGAUCGGCUAACUCCGUGCCAGCAGCCGCGGUAAU